CGAUAGAAGGAACCAUCUCCCUAACCACGAUACCUGAACAAGCUCCAAAAUAGGCGGUCAUCAAAGUAAAUUAUUUUUAUAGUCAAGAGCCCAUUAGUAUACAAUAUCAUCUUAGGUUGGCCUAGACUAAAUACUUUUUGAGCUAUUGUAUCGAUCUAUCAUUUGACAGUAAAAUUUUCCACCCCUUACGGGGUCAAUGAGCUUCAAAAAAAUCAACAGCUUGUGAGGAAAUAUUACAUAGCGAUCUUACGC
rnacentral:lncRNA from 1 species